UACGUAGGGGGGCAAGCGUUGUCCGGAUUUAUUGGGCGUAAAGAGCGUGUAGGCGGUUGGGUAGGUCCGUUGUGAAAACUCGAGGCUCAACCUCGAGACGCCGAUGGAAACCCCCCAGCUAGAGUCCGGAAGAGGAGAGUGGAAUUCCUGGUGUAGCGGUGAAAUGCGCAGAUAUCAGGAAGAACACCCGUGGCUAAGGCGGCUCUCUAGUACGGUACUGACGCUGAGACGCGAAAGCGUGGGGAGCGAACAGG
rnacentral:rRNA from 1 species